rnacentral:lncRNA from 1 species
AAAUUUCCUCGUUCUCCAGGUAGGUGCCUGAUAACUUAAAAUAUGAAAUAAAUUCCCUCGUUCUCCAGGUGGGUGCCUGAUGACUUAAAACACGAAAUAAAUUCCCCCGUUCUCCAGGUGGGCGCCUGAUGACUUAAAACUUGAAAUAAAUUCCCUUGUUCUCCAGGUGGGCGCCUGAUGACUUAAAACUUGAAAUAAAUUCCCUCGUUCUCCAGGUGGGCGCGUGAUGAUUUAAAAUUUGAAAUAAAUUCCCUCGUUCUCUAGGCGGGCACCUGAUGACUUAAAACUUGA